AUUGAACGCUGGCGGCAUGCUUUACACAUGCAAGUCGGACGGCAGCACAGAGAAGCUUGCUUCUUGGGUGGCGAGUGGCGAACGGGUGAGUAAUAUAUCGGAGCGUACCGAGUAAUGGGGGAUAACUAAUCGAAAGAUUAGCUAAUACCGCAUAUUCUCUGAGGAGGAAAGCAGGGGACCUUCGGGCCUUGCGUUAUUCGAGCGGCCGAUAUCUGAUUAGCUAGUUGGUGGGGUAAAGGCCUACCAAGGCGACGAUCAGUAGCGGGUCUGAGAGGAUGAUCCGCCACACUGGGACUGAGACACGGCCCAGACUCCUACGGGAGGCAGCAGUGGGGAAUUUUGGACAAUGGGCGCAAGCCUGAUCCAGCCAUGCCGCGUGUCUGAAGAAGGCCUUCGGGUUGUAAAGGACUUUUGUCAGGGAAGAAAAGGCUGUUGCUAAUAUCGACAGCUGAUGACGGUACCUGAAGAAUAAGCACCGGCUAACUACGUG
rnacentral:rRNA from 1 species